UAUUGGACAAUGGGCGAAAGCCUGAUCCAGCGACACCGCGUGGGGGAAGAAGGCCCUCGGGUUGUAAACCCCUUUUCCCGGGGAAGAAUAAUGACGGUACCUGGGGAAUAAGCCCCGGCUAACUACGUGCCAGCAGCCGCGGUAAUACGUAGGGGGCGAGCGUUAUCCGGAUUUACUGGGCGUAAAGCGGGCGUAGGCGGCCUGUCAAGUCGGAUGUGAAAUCUCCCGGCUUAACUGGGAGGGUGCAUUCGAUACUGAUGGGCUAGAGUACAGCAGAGGGAAGUGGAAUUCCCGGUGUAGUGGUGAAAUGCGUAGAUAUCGGGAAGAACACUAGUGGCGAAGGCGGCUUCCUGGGCUGUCGCUGACGCUGAGGUCCGAAGGCGUGGGUAGCAAACAGGAUUAGAUACCCUGGUAGUCCACGCAGUAAACGAUGGAUACUAGGUAUAGGG
rnacentral:rRNA from 1 species